rnacentral:snRNA from 1 species
UAAGUCUAAUUUCACCGCAAUAAUCGCGUAACAAUUUCGCCUUUUACUAAAUUAUUCCGUGCGGGGGAAUUUUAUAUGACGUAUUAAAACAUUUUUUACGGUCGUGAAAGCGACCAA